GGGGAUGUAGCUCAAAUGGUAGAGCGCUCGCUUUGCAUGCGAGAGGCCCGAACAGGGUUCGAUCCCCUGCAUCUCCA